rnacentral:rRNA from 1 species
CGGCAACGGUGAAACUCAAAGGAAUUGACGGGGGCCCGCACAAGCGGAGGAACAUGUGGUUUAAUUCGAUGAUACGCGAGGAACCUUACCCGGGCUCAAACGGGGAGUGGCGCAGGCAGAGACGCCUGUUUCCCACGGGACACUCCCCGAGGUGCUGCAUGGUUGUCGUCAGCUCGUGCCGUGAGGUGUCGGCUUAAGUGCCAUAACGAGCGCAACCCCCGCGUGCAGUUGCUAACAGUCAACGCUGAGGACUCUGCACGGACUGCCGGCGCAAGCCGCGAGGAAGGCGGGGAUGACGUCAAAUCAGCACGGCCCUUACGUCCGGGGCGACACACGUGUUACAAUGGGUGGUACAGCGGGAAGCCAGGCGGCGACGCCGAGCGGAACCCGAAAUCCACUCUCAGUUCGGAUCGGAGUCUGCAACCCGACUCCGUGAAGCUGGAUUCGCUAGUAAUCGCGCAUCAGCCAUGGCGCGGUGAAUACGUUCCCGGGCCUUGUACACACCGCCCGUCAAGCCAUGGGAGCCGAGGGCGCUUGAAGUGCGUCGCCGCGAGGCGCGCCCUAGAGCGAAAUCGGUGACUGGGGCUAAGUCGUAACAAGGUAACCGU